CUUCUCUGGCCACAGUGAAGGACAAGCCAGAAGGCAGAAUGGAGAAGCCUGAGGGCGCCAUGCUUCCUUGCUGAAGUAGAGAUGGAUCUAGCAGGUUGGCAUCCAGCUCUAUCCACCGGUGGAAAUUACAAGAUGACCAGGACCAUAGGCCGGACCAAGCAAAGGAACUGCUGGGCGAUGGCACCUGGGAGUUUCCAAUGGCCUGCUAGUCACCGGGGCCACUGUUCACCUUUGCAUCUCAGUGGAAAGGAAACCGCACCUACUGUAAAACAGAUCCAUUCCUAUUUCCACCCCAUGGAGUGUGUCACUAAGAUAAACUCCAGGGACCACUGAGAUGCUGGUGGUUAACAAGUUCUUGCCUGGCAAGUUUUAAUUUUGAUCAGCUAAAAUUACAAAACCUGUCCCCUGU